GACGAACGCUGGCGGCGUGCCUAAUACAUGCAAGUCGAACGAAGCUGUUUUAACUGGUGCUUGCACCGACUUAAACAACUGAGUGGCGAACGGGUGAGUAACACGUGGGUAACCUGCCCCAAAGCGGGGGAUAACAUUUGGAAACAGAUGCUAAUACCGCAUAACCACAGAAACCACAUGGUUUCUGUGUCAAAGAUGGUUUCGGCUAUCACUUUGGGAUGGACCCGCGGCGUAUUAGCUAGUUGGUAAGGUAAUGGCUUACCAAGGCAAUGAUACGUAGCCGAACUGAGAGGUUGAUCGGCCACAUUGGGACUGAGACACGGCCCAAACUCCUACGGGAGGCAGCAGUAGGGAAUCUUCCACAAUGGACGAAAGUCUGAUGGAGCAACGCCGCGUGAGUGAAGAAGGUUUUCGGAUCGUAAAACUCUGUUGUCAGAGAAGAACGUGUGCGAGAGUAACUGUUCGUGCAGUGACGGUAUCUGGCCAGAAAGCCCUUACUAACUACGUGCCAGCCGCCGCAGUAA
rnacentral:rRNA from 1 species